UAAAAGAUAACUACAAUUAACUGCUCAUAUAAAGUUAAAUUAAUAACAGAAAAAAUAAGGUAGAUUACUUACGAGAACCAGAUUUGGCCCAGAGCUUAUUACGUGACUCGUCAGAAGAAUGAGUCUUGAUAUGGAUGAUGUAAAAGGUGUCGUCUUUGUCAGCUAAGUUAUCAAUGGCCCAUUUAAGAGCAGUUUUGCUGCUCUUUGAGAAAUCCAUUGCUACACCAAUUGUCCUGUCUUUCACCAUUUUCGCUUACUAGUUUCUUCUUCUUCUUCUUCUUUGUUUUUUCUUCUUAAAAAAGAGAUGCAGAGCACUUUCUUGCGUGUGAAAACUGAAAGCGGAAAAACAAAAUACGCGUUAAGGCAAAAAGAUAUAAAGCUAAGGUUCGCUUGGGACAGCUAUUUAAGGAUAUCGUUUUCUUAGUGCCGCUUGUCUUCUUUCGCUUUCAAAGUACACUAAGAAUUUACGGAUGGACACAUUAUAGUCAUUUUACUCGGCAAAAAAAUUAUUCUCAUCCGAUGUUUUCAUUAAAUCACAUUUAAUUAAUCAUUGUUAAGUGAUCCUCAGUCUCAAUUUACGUGACGUUCACUUUUAAUUGUCUUAAUUAUUCUAAUUUACUUUUGGCGAGAUAUUUAUAACUGUACAAAUAUUUAUAACUUAUUUUUUAUCAAAAAUUAUAAUUAAAAAAAAAUUAAAUUUUAUAUCUAGUUAAAUAUCAUUACAUAAAUUUGGGACAAAGAGAGAAAUAUAUUGAGCUAGGGACUAUACAUAUUAAUUUAUUAAUUAACUUUAGAUAAGUGACAAAAGUGUAUAUAAAAAACUAUAUAAUCUGCUUAUCAAUUUAUUGUGAACAUGAAUGGAUAAGUUUUAGUGCUCGAGUUGCUCAUUUCUUUUGUUUUAGCUUAAAAUGUGCAAAGAAAAUAAAGAAAACCGCGUACCGUACAUGACAUUACAAAUUUAUUAUUCCUUAAUGAGUAAUGUAUGUGCCUUGUUAAUUUUGAUAUUACUUCUUUUGGCAGUACUAGUAGAUGAAGAAUUAUAUACGUACCGUCGGGGCGGCCCGAUCAAUUUCGUGGCCUAAAACCAAAUUUUACGAGGGGUCUUAACAUGUUUAUUAAUAAAAAAUAUUUUAUUUUUAUUUGAAAUCUAUUUUUCUAACUUUUUUUAGAUGCAAAGUUAUUAUUAAUUAUUUAUAAUCAGCUUCUCCUAAUAAGUUUUUCUCAAUUGACAAUAUAACUAAUUUAUUUAAUAUCUUUGAGACAUUGUUAAUCUUAGGUAAGGUUUUAUCAAUUUUAAUUUUGAAACACUUUUUUCCGCUGAAGCAACGGUAAUAGGAGUUAUUAACAUUAUUCUAAAAUAAUCAAACCUUUUUAUUUGAUUGAGUAUAUCAAUUAAAUUAUUAUCUUCUAAUUGUACUAUUUUUCUUAAUAUUUUUGAUUCAAAAUAUAAAUCUAAACUAUCAAUAUCGGGUUGAUUAUUAUGAUUUAAGGAGCGUUCAAAAUGAAGGCAAUAUUUAUUCAAAUUUCCAUCAACUAGUGAUCUCAGUUUUUACCGCUAAAUAUAAAACCAAAAAUAUUUUCAUAUGCCUCUAAUUGUUCAAAUCUAUUUUAAAGUGAAAAAAUAUCCUUGUCUACUACUCUCUCUGGUCCAUAAUAAGUGAUUUUUUGGAUUUUAUUUUGGUCCAAAAUAAGUGUCCUUUUAUAUAAUCGAGAAAGAAUUAACUUUAUUUUUUUAAAAUUUGCCCUUAUUUACAUAUCUAUUGGUGUCAAGUUAACAACAUAUAAAUUUUAGUUAAGGAUAAUUCAGUCAAAAUAUAUUUUUAUUUUAGGAGUAAGUAUUUUCUUAAGGGGUAUAUCAAAGGUUAAAAAGUCAUUUAUUAUGGACCAGAGGGAGUAUGUAUAAAAAGUAAUCAACUCUAAAGGACACAGAGAGAUUUUGAGAUUUCACUAUUAACAUUCUCCUCAAAUUGUUUCUUCAUAUAUAUUACACGUUUCUUAUGAAAUUCGGGUUCGAUAUUAAUUUCAAAUGCAAUUUCCUUGGCAGAAAUCAAAACAGUUACAAAUCCUUCAUCUCUUUAUUCGUUAAAUAAAGAAAUCAAACUUUUUCAAUUCACAUAACUUUUUUUUUUAAAAUUUAUAUAUAGCCUAUUAGGUGUAAAAAAAAAAAAUAGGGUCUCCACAAAUAUAGGGCCUAAAGCAAUUAUUUUACCUGCUUUAUGGACGGGUCGCCUCUGCGUACCGUCUCUACAAUACCUUCAACUAUAUUAUCGUGUGAUUUUGAAUAUCAUUGAACCUGAUUUUCAUGUACUGUUUGUAACAUAAGUUACAAUUUUGAUCUCAUGAACAAGUUUGUUCAUGUAACUUCUUUAUGCAUGCAUUCAAAGAAAUUGUAUGUAAAUAAGGCAUGUCAUUUGCUUAUUGAUUUGGUAUAAACAUUUAAUAUGAUUAAAUUUUUUAAGUUUGAGUUGCUUUUCUUUUGUUUAAGCUUAACAUUCAAAGAAAUAAAGGCGUACUUUAAUAUUUUCCGUCUCAAAUGACAUUAUAUAAUUUAUUUUUCCUUAAUAUAAAUAAUGCGUGUUCUGUUGUUAAUUUUGAUUAAGUAAAGAGAGUAUUUUACAUGCAUUCCCUAUAGUAUGAAUCCGCAAUGACCAUAGGGAUAAAAUAGUUUAAUUUUUUUUAAGCGGUAAGUUGUGUGUAUGAGUCAGCUAAAUGUGCACCUUAAUUAAGUAGAUACUUGAUACCAUGUGCUCCGACACUAGUAUCUGAUAAUAAUAUCAGAAAAAAAUUAUUUAUAGUUCUUUUUUAUCCAAGGAAUUAAAAGAAUGAAACAUAACAUAUAUAUAUGGAUUAGGCAAAAUUGAGCAAAUUAUCAAUCUCUGUUUAGUUAUUGAAACCAAAAACACGAUCUUAUCACAAGAGAAAUAAAUGCAUUUUAAGCUUAUUAUCUUAUUCAACGGGCAUCAUAAGUCGCAAUGCUUGAAUUCAACGACGAAGAGUUGUUGAUCAGUGCUUGUGGAAAUCUGGAUCCUUGACUACAGUCACAGGGCAGGUCGCAUUAGACAUUACAUAGUUUGUCACACUUCCCAAGAAUAUCCUGUUUUACCAAGAAAUACAUAUAAAUAUUAAUGGCAUAUUACUUGAAUUAUUAAAAAAAAAAAAAAAAAAAAGAGAGACCAAAUUGUAACUAGUAAAUUUAGAAAAAUAGAAGUGGAAAUUAUGGACAGAUUAAUAAAAAGUACCUUUGGAUGGUAGUAAGGCCUCUGCUACCCAUAACCAAAGAAUCCAACUUCAGAUCUUCAAUAGCAUCACAUAGUUUCUCCCUAGCAUCUCCCCAGUACAGUUUGGCGACAACAUUUAUCUAUAGAAAUAUCAAUGAUUAAUAAUUUUAGAAAAAUUAAACAAAAGAAAAUUACCAAAAGGAAAAAUGAAAAGUGUGGAUGUUUGAUGAAAACCUCUUUCUGCCUAGUAGCAGUAUCAAGCAAAUCAAGAACAUCAAUAUCAGUCUUCACAUCAUAUUUCUCCAACACUUCUAGCUCCCUAAACUCCACCAACGGAAUUAAAGCUAACAAACAAAAGAAAACAUCAAAGUAUUAACAACCUGAUACGCAAAGAAUUUAACUUUAAAACAGAGAAAGAAUUUCCGUACUAUCAUAUCACCUAAACUAUAAAUACAAAUAACAUGCAUGUCCAUUGAAAGUAGGAUCAGCAACCAAAGAAAUAAAUCAAAGUACUUACUGCAAUAAACUCAAGUAAUAGAAAAAUAAGAAAACACAAUUGAAGAAGAAAAACACUUUUCCUUAUCCUUAAAGAUAUAUUAUAUGUAUAUUAUUUAGGAGAUUAUAAGCAAAUCUCUUGAAAAUUCAACAAACCAAAGUAUACCGCAUAUUAAUUAUGCUACUUCACGAGAGUCCUUAUAUUUAUAGAACUUUUGAGAUGACUUUUUAGAAGUCAUUCUCUUUUGACGAACACAUAUGUAUGUUUUAGGGCAGCCCAGUGUACUAAAGGGCCAGACUACAAGAGUUUAUUAUACGUAGCUUGACCUUGCAUUUUUACAAGGGAUUGUUUUCACAACUUAAACGCGUGACCUCCUGAUCACAUGACAACAAAUAUGUUUGUUUUAAGACCCCUAAAUAUUACAAAUUAACUCAACAUAAAAGCUAAGUCCAUCCACGAAAGAAAGAAAAGAAGAAGAAGAAAGGUUGAAGGGGUAUCUUACGAGAACCAGAUUGAGCCCAGAGCUUGUUACGUGACUCAUCAGAAGAAUGAGUUUUGAUGUGGAUGAUGUAAAAGGUGUCGUCUUUGUCAGCUAAGUUAUCAAUGGCCCAUUGCAAAGCAGUUUUGCUGCUCUUUGAGAAGUCCAUUGCUACACCAAUUGUCCUGUCU
rnacentral:lncRNA from 1 species